CUUAAUUGGCCUCUGGCCCUUUAAACUCUGAGGGGCUGUAACUUUGGUUUCUUUUGGUCAAUUUGCAUGAUUGACAACUUUUUUUAAUUGUUUGAGCCAAUAGAGUCACAGUAACGAUGCCACGUUCACGUUACGUCAACCAGUCAGACGUUGUAAUGCCAAAACCCACGUGGGCCCAAAUUUACUGCAUGUGGUCUGUCCAGUCACGUGUCUAUAGGUGGGUCUAAAAUGGAGGUUAACAGAAAACGGCUCUGAUGCGGCUAGGUAGGCGUGGUAACUGCUGACAAUCACAUGGCUACCGGCUACCGGCGAAAAUAACGGAGGAAAUCUGGACGUGACAGUCGGAGAGGAAGGAGAGCGGACGUGACAGCAGAGAGCGGGAGUGUCUGUGUCCCAGUGCAAAACAAAAGCCACAGUUGUAAAUAAAAGUCAUCACACUCGUGUCCAGCGUAUGCAUAACGGGUCAAAUGUUACAUCUUCAUGUAUGGAGUAAACACAAAUCUACACACAGAAAUACAAUGGGCAAAAAUGUAAAAAGUGACAAUACAUCAUGAAUGUAUUCAUAUACUUACUGAUAGUUUUUGUUGCGAUUGUCCAAGAAAUGCAAAAAAUGGUUUGUUCGAAAAGUUUGCCUGUGCUGAAUUCACCAAUGCACAAUAUGUGUGUUUAACAGUGCAUUUUACAGUAUUUAACCUUUGCACUAGUUAUGUAAAAUAAUACUUUUUGUUGAGUAAAACAUAUAUGUCUUACUUUACUUUUACGUCAGAAGUCACAUUAUUCAAGGACUUCCAACUACAUUUGACCCCCACCAGUUUGUUUACAGGGAUAUCAUAUCAACAGAGGAUGAUAUGGCCACUGCUCUACACACCACCCUGACCCAUCUGGAACACCGGCACAGUUAUGCCAAGCUUCUCUUCACUAACUUCUGCUCAACACAAUCAUCCCUAACAGAACUAAUUGACUUCAGCCUCUCACAAUCCAUCCACUCUGGUUUAAAGACUUCCUCAGAGAUCGUGUGCAGAGAGUCAAGUUCGCAGACAACACGACAGUGAUCGGAGGUGGGGGACGAGGCACGCGGGAGUCUGCGCCUGCCGGAGGAGGGAGAACAGCCAGAUGAAGGGCUGCUCCUGUCGGGAGCGAUGAAGGAGCCGGAGGCGGCGGAUGAGGCGCGCGAGGGUCCACACCGACCGGAAGAAGAGGAGCCGCUCAAGCCAGAGGUGGACAAGGGGCGAGAGGGGCUGUGCCUGCUGGAGGCGGAGACGCGGCACGGGGGAGCCGCGCCAGCCGGGAGUGGCGACGGAGGAGCCGGCCUCAUCUCCACCAGCGGCCGGCAUGCCAGUUGAUCCUACGUCCGCCGAGCCGCCUGUGAGCCGUGACCACCUGGCACGCAGCCGACCUCCAGACCAGCUUCGCCAGCGCCGCUGGAAUUGCUGGCUGCCGCCUGAACUCACACCUCCCUGUCGCUGGACCUGGGGCUGGGGAUGCCGACAGUCCAGGCCGAUUCUCUCUCCUGCUCACGGGGGGAGUGGAGUAGGUAGGUUCAGCCAGAUGGCUCCUUGGCCUCAGUCGGGCGAUGGGGGUAUGUGGCGGGGCGUGGCUUGCGGUGCCGUGCAGGGAAGGUGGACACACCUGCACGGCAUCCACAAUCAUGCCCCGCCAUCUUAAUUAUGGGACUGGGUCCUGACUGGGGG